AACGCUAGCUACAGGCUUAACACAUGCAAGUCCAGGGGCAGCAUUUUAGUUUGCUUGCAAACUAAAGAUGGCGACCGGCGCACGGGUGAGUAACACGUAUCCAACCUGCCGAUAACUCUGGGAUAGCCUUUCGAAAGAAAGAUUAAUACCGGAUGGCAUAGGAUUAUCGCAUGAUAAUCCUAUUAAAGAAUUUCGGUUAUCGAUGGGGAUGCGUUCCAUUAGGCAGUUGGUGAGGUAACGGCUCACCAAACCUUCGAUGGAUAGGGGUUCUGAGAGGAAGGUCCCCCACAUUGGAACUGAGACACGGUCCAAACUCCUACGGGAGGCAGCAGUGAGUUUUAUUGGUCAAUGGACGGGAGUCUGAACCAGCCAAGUAGCGUGAAGGAUGACUGCCCUAUGGCCCGCAAACUUCUUUUAUACGGGAAUAAAGUGGUCCACGUGUGGAUUUUUGUAUGUACCGUAUGAAUAAGGAUCGGCUAACUCCGUGCCAGCAGCCGCGGUAAUACGGAGGAUCCGAGCGUUAUCCGGAUUUAUUGGGUUUAAAGGGAGCGUAGGUGGAUUGUUAAGUCAGUUGUGAAAGUUUGCGGCUCAACCGUAAAAUUGCAGUUGAUACUGGCAGUCUUGAGUACAGUAGAGGUGGGCGGAAUUCGUGGUGUAGCGGUGAAAUGCUUAGAUAUCACGAAGAACUCCGAUUG
rnacentral:rRNA from 1 species